GGGUCAAUGGUUUAGUGGUAGAAUUCGCCCUUCGGGACUAUGGGCGAGAUCCGGGGUUCGAUUCCCCGUUGACCCC